AUACUUACCUGGCAAGGGAGACACCGUGAUCAAGAAGGCGGUUCACCCAGGGCGAGGCUCAGCCAUUGCACUCCGGCUGUGCUGACCCGUGUGAAUUUCCCAAAUGUGGAAAUCUCGAUUGCAUAAUUUCUGGUAGUGGGGGACUGCGUUCGCGCUCUCCCCUG
rnacentral:snRNA from 1 species